GGCCUGGUCCAGUGGUCCGCCUAACGGUGUGUACUGCUGGACUGGGUCUUACCUCCUGGUGAGCCGGCGUGCCCUUUAUUGGUGUGCGCCGGGGAACCAGGACUUUUACCUUGAGAAAAUUAGAGUGUUCAAAGCAGGCCUAUGCCCGAAUACAUUAGCAUGGAAUAAUAGAAUAGGACGGUGGUCCUGUUUUGUUGGUUUCUGAAUCACCGUA
rnacentral:rRNA from 1 species